CCUACGGGUGGCUGCAGUCGAGGAUCUUCGGCAAUGGGCGCAAGCCUGACCGAGCGAUGCCGCGUGUGCGACGAAGGCCUUCGGGUUGUAAAGCACUGUCGAGAGGGAGAGCUGUUUCCUGGAGGAAGGGCGGGCUAAGUUCGUGCCAGCAGCCGCGGUAAGACGAACCGCCCGAACGUUGUUCGGAAUCACUGGGCUUAAAGGGAGCGUAGGCGGGCUGCCAAGUCCGGGGUGAAAUCCUCCAGCUUAACUGGAGAACUGCCUCGGAUACUGGAAGUCUCGAGGAGGGUAGGGGCAAGUGGAACCGUGGGUGGAGCGGUGAAAUGCGUUGAUAUCCAUGGGAACUCCGGUGGCGAAGGCGACUUGCUGGACCCUCUGACGCUGAGGCUCGAAAGCCAGGGGAGCAAACGGGAUUAGAUACCCUUGUAGUC
rnacentral:rRNA from 1 species